rnacentral:misc_RNA from 2 species
AACGCAUCUUGCGCUUUUGGGUUAUUCCCGGAAGCAUGCUUGUUGGAGUAACGGAAAAGCUCAACCUCGCCCUUUCUUGAUUGAAUCGGUUGUCUGGGAUUGAAUCGUGACGCUCUGUUGACAUACACCUGUAACAAAGGUGUACAACCGCGUUGAAUUGCAAGAAGCUGAAACUUUGAAUAAUGCAGGCUUCGGCUAACUAUUGUUGUAAAACUUCGGUCAAUAGUGUUGCUUAUUUAGACUCUAGUAGGCUUACCGAAAACUUGUAGCCGUCUCGAACGAAUCGAACACUACUAUUUUGCUUGUUCUCCAAUCAAGUAGGACUACCCGCUGAACUUAA